rnacentral:rRNA from 1 species
GACGAACGCUGGCGGCGUGCUUAACACAUGCAAGUCGAACGAUGAAGCCGGAGCUUGCUCUGGUGAAUUAGUGGCGAACGGGUGAGUAACACGUGAGUAACCUGCCCUUGACUCUGGGAUAACUGCGGGAACCUGUAGCUAAUACCGGAUACGACCCUCGGAGGCAUCUCCUGGGGGUGGAAAGAAUUUCGGUCAAGGAUGGACUCGCGGCCUAUCAGCUAGUUGGUGAGGUAAAGGCUCACCAAGGCGACGACGGGUAGCCGGCCUGGGAGGGUGACCGGCCACACUGGGACUGGGACACGGACCAGACUCCUACGGGAGGCAGCAGUGGGGAAUAUUGCACAAUGGGCGCAAGCCUGAUGCAGCAACGCCGCGUGAGGGAUGACGGCCUUCGGGUUGUAAACCUCUUUUAGCAGGGAAGAAGCGAAAGUGACGGUACCUGCAGAAAAAGCACCGGCUAACUACGUGCCAGCCGCCGCGGUAA